rnacentral:sRNA from 1 species
CAAACCAAGAUGGAGUAUGAGUGGAAACCUGACGAGCAAGGGCUCCAGCAAAUCCUGCAGUUGUUGAAGGAGUCCCAGUCCCCAGACACCACCAUCCAGAGAACCGUGCAACAAAAACUGGAACAACUUAAUCAGUAUCCAGACUUUAACAACUACUUGAUUUUUGUUCUUACAAAAUUAAAAUCUGAAGAUGAACCCACAAGAUCAUUGAGUGGUCUUAUCUUGAAGAAUAAUGUGAAAGCACACUUUCAGAACUUCCCAAAUGGUGUAACAGACUUUAUUAAAAGUGAAUGUUUAAAUAAUAUUGGUGACUCCUCUCCUCUGAUUAGAGCCACUGUUGGUAUUUUGAUCACAACUAUAGCCUCCAAGGGAGAAUUGCAGAAUUGGCCUGACCUCUUACCAAAACUCUGUAGCCUGUUGGAUUCUGAAGAUUAUAAUACCUGUGAGGGUCUCACUCUGUUUCCCAGGCUGGAGUGCAGUGACACCAUCA